rnacentral:rRNA from 1 species
UACGUAGGCAGCAAGCGUUGUUCGGAAUUACUGGGCGUAAAGGGUGCGUAGGCGGCUUUUUAAGUUUGGUGUGAAAUCUCCCGGCUCAACUGGGAGGGUGCGCCGAAUACUGAGAAGCUAGAGUGUGGGAGAGGAAAGUGGAAUUCCUGGUGUAGCGGUGAAAUGCGUAGAUAUCAGGAGGAAUACCCGUGGCGAAGGCGGCCCCCUGGGCCGAACCUGACGCUGAGGCGCGAAGGCUAGGGGAGCGAACGAGG